rnacentral:SRP_RNA from 1 species
CUCUGGUCCCCCCGCAAUAAUAAACUGUGAACCCCGCCAGGCCCGGAAGGGAGCAACGGUAGCAGUGGACUUAUGUGCCGGGGUGUGGCUGGAGGUC